rnacentral:rRNA from 1 species
AGGAUAAACGCUGGCGGCGUGCUUAAUACAUGCAAGUCGAGCGGCAGCAUGCACUUCGGUGUGAUGGCGAGCGGCGGACGGCUGAGUAACGCGUAGGAAUAUACCCCAAAGUGAGGAAUAACUGCCCGAAAGGGUAGCUAAUGCCGCAUGUGGUCUUCGGAUUAAAGCUUUAUGCGCUUUGGGAAUGGCCUGCGUACGAUUAGCUUGUUGGUGAGGUAAUGGCUCACCAAGGCGAUGAUCGUUAGCUGGUCUGAGAGGAUGAUCAGCCAGACUGGGACUGAGACACGGCCCAGACUCCUACGGGAGGCAGCAGUAGGGAAUUUUCCACAAUGGACGAAAGUCUGAUGGAGCAACGCCGCGUGCAGGAUGAAGGCCCUUGGGUCGUAAACUGCUUUUCUCUGUGAGGAAUAUGACAGUAGCAGAGGAAUAAGGAUCGGCUAACUCCGUGCCAGCAGCCGCGGUAAUCUA